rnacentral:rRNA from 1 species
GUUGAUGCUCAGAGAAUUGUUGCAAUUCCACUACCAAUAUAUGAAAUGACAGACUUUUUAGCUUGGAGUUUCACUAAAACAGGCGGGUUCACCGUAAGAUCAGCAUACCAUGCUAUCUGGGAGUCAAAGUUUGGGCACAAUCUGCAAGGUGCAGCGAGUUCUUCCUGGCCAACACCUACAUGGGAUUCGGUGUGGAGCUUGAGCUUCCCAUCAAAGGUAAAAAAUUUUGUUUGGAGAGCACUUCUUAGUGCUGUUCCAUGCCGUGAAAUAUUGGCGGAUAGACAUAUCAAGAUCAAACCAAAUUGUCCCGUAUGUAACAAAGGACCGAAGAGUAUCCGUCACCUGCUUUUUGUAUGUCCAGUUGCGAUUCAGGUUUGGAAACUUCUUGGAGUGUGGGAUGUAAUACAGAGGGGAUUGGCGAUGAAUACUUGCGGGGAGGUUAUGUUGGAUUAUCUUCUUAGCCUACCGGACGAUCAUAUCCAUGUGCUAGGAUUGCCAAAAUUGCGAGAAACGGUGGCUACAUGCUGUUGGUACUUGUGGUGGGAAAGGAGAAAAAUUACACAUGGAGGUGAUCCACAAACGGCGCCACAGAUCAAUCUUGUUGUACGCUCCUUGGCAGAGAACUUUAUAGUAGCGAAUUCACCACGGCCAAGAGUUCAUUUGGGAGGUUGGAUGAGACCAAGGACCGGGUAUGUCAAGCUAAAUGUGGACGCAAGUUUUGAUCAGGACUUACUUGAAGGUUCAGUAGGUGUUGUCAUUAGAGACCACAAGGGCAAGUUUAUAGCUGCAGCAAAUGAAAAACUUAGAGUCUGUUAUGAUGCUUUUACUGCUGAGGCAAUUGCAAUCAGAUUCGGCCUAAAUCUUGCUCGCACAACUGGAUGUAGCAAAGUUGAGGUGAAUUCAAAUAAUUCGGACGUGGUUGAAGCGCUCAGAGAAGGCUACUCAGCUUCGGUACCCAGUGCGAUUUUUUAUGACUGUUAUUUCAUGUCUUUAGAAUUCAGUCAUAUUGUUUAUGAGCAUUGUUUUAGAGAGAAUAAUAAGGUAGCACAUGAAUUAGCUAGUCUAGCUAGAUUCAAUCCUCCUGAUGUAUGGUUGGAUGAUCCCCAUCGGCUAUCAUCCCCUUAA